rnacentral:rRNA from 1 species
AGAACGAACGCUGGCGGCAUGCCUAAUACAUGCAAGUCGAACGAACUCUUCGGAGUUAGUGGCGCACGGGUGCGUAACGCGUGGGAAUCUGCCCCUUGGUUCGGAAUAACAGUUGGAAACGACUGCUAAUACCGGAUGAUGACGAAAGUCCAAAGAUUUAUCGCCCAAGGAUGAGCCCGCGUAGGAUUAGCUAGUUGGUGGGGUAAAGGCCUACCAAGGCGACGAUCCUUAGCUGGUCUGAGAGGAUGAUCAGCCACACUGGGACUGAGACACGGCCCAGACUCCUACGGGAGGCAGCAGUAGGGAAUAUUGGACAAUGGCGAAAGCCUGAUCCAGCAAUGCCGCGUGAGUGAUGAAGGCCUUAGGUUGUAAAGCUCUUUUACCCGAGAUGAUAAUGAACAGUAUCGGAAGAAUAAGCUCCGGACUAACUCCGUGCCAGCAAGCCGC